rnacentral:pre_miRNA from 1 species
UGAUGAUGAUAAUGAUGAUGAUGAUGAUGAUGAUGAUGAUGAUGAUGAUGAUGAUUAUCAUCAUUCAUCAUCGUCAUCACCACCGCAA